ensembl:lncRNA
CUGUUGCCCGACUCCCAGCGGCCGAGAAGGCGCCGCGUCGCACCCGGGUGGCUGGGUUGGCAGCCCGGCCGGCGGCGCGGAGGAGAGGGCGCAGGGGUCCUCCUGGCCGUCUUCCGCUCCCCUCCCGGCUUUUGCCUCUGUCAGGCCCCGCCUGGCCCGGGCCUGCGGCCGCCAGUGACCUGUUUCCUUCCACCUGGGCGGGUCGGGGGCUGCGGGCAUUGGGGCCCCUUAAGGAAACCCAGGCCUCCAGGAACCCCGCCGCUCCAGGACACGGCGCGGAGGGAGUGAUUGAGCGACGACCGAGGCAGGGGUGAUGUGGUACCGCGAAUGCUGGGGAAACGGCAGGAAUGAUGACCCGGCCGGACCUUAGACCCGAGAUCGAUGAGAGGCCGCCAGCACGGCCCGGGAGACGGCCCGCGCUUCUGCCCCUCCUGCUGCGGCCUCCGCCAGACCCCGGUGUUAUUUCCUGCCCCUCCUGUCGGGAACAAUUUGAGGAACCAACUUAAUCGCUUGGCUUUGAGGGCGCGACGCUUCCAGGCGCUCUCCUCGGCUGUGUCCCGCGGACCCGUGGAGCCUGGGUGACGGCGCCUGGGCCGGAGGAGGGGAGAUGUUUGCGGUCCCUGGCUAAGAUGAAUCAGCGUGACCGUCCCGUCACCCUUGAGGGAAAAAAAAAAAGUUUCAAGAAGGCUUGAAAGGUGACCUAGCCAGGAAGACCUCCGGGAGUAAAAGUUGAGGCUUUAAAAGCAUGGCAAAGAUGGAAGAUUCGGAGAAAUUCCAUCCAUGUGUAUUUGGGAAAGAAAUCAGGAGCUUGGCUGAGAAGUAAGAGUGUUCUUCCCACUCCAGUCCCCAAAGCCACCAGUCAGCCUAGUCCAUCUUCAGUUUGAAAAUAGGAAGAGAUGGAACCUAAAUCCAUUCACUAAUGAACUUUUGGAUCUCGGGUGGAUUUGAGUUCCAGGAGGCUCUGUCAAUUUGACCAGAGGUUUUCAGCCCAAAUGACAACACGGUGAAGCAUAUAAGGUACAUGAGGACACCUGGAAAACAACAUUCAUUGCGGCAUCCCGUGUGAUAGAGGAGUUGCAGGCAACCUAAGGUGUCCCUCAUUGGGAGAGUAGGAAAGUACACUGUUGAAGAGAGGCAGACACUUGGACCAGAUGGAAGCAACGAACUCAAGGACAUCAAGGGCUCCGGAUAUUGUGAAAGUUUCCCUUUAAGUUACGACUGGAAUCCAGAACAACGCCGUAUGGACCGCUCUGUGGGGAGCGCGGAAAGCUCUCAGCACAUCUUAACAGGAGGCACAUGAUGUCCAUCGGUACCAUCUGUGAAGAUAUUAAUCUUCGUUACUGGAUUAAGCAUCUGCCAGAUUUCUCUACGGACAAUGGAGUUUUAAUGUACAGCAAAAUUCAAUAAGCAAAAGGUAAGUCCCAGUAAAAUUAAACAGGGCAAAAGACACAUAUAGUUAUACAAGCAGAAAUACACAGUCCUGUCUACACCUGAAAAACCUCAUGGAAGCAAAACAGGUCUCUUGCCUCCGUCACGUCCCAUGGUUAGAAGAAAACAAACAUUUUGAACCCUCUCUAAUCCUAGCCCCCCAAACAAAUGAACUCCAGAGCAUUUCCUGUAAGUUGCUGACUAUUUAAUGCAAACAACUUUAUCCCAGACUUUUGCAAAACUGCUGUCUGAAGACUACUCCAGCCUUUGUAGAAACGAUAACCCCGUAAGAAAAUUGCUGGUUUUCUGUCAUGAACACACCAACUGUAAAUUCAGUCACGUUGGUAAUUUAGCAGUGUUUGGUGUUAAUGACCUGUUGUGUUUGUUAUCUGAUGAGCAGUUCCUUCUGAGGUCCCCAUAUUUCUUGCAAGUAAACUUUUUCCUUUUCUAAAUGCUGUUAUCUCCAGAUCUUCAACUUACUGAUACUUAAAUGCAAAUUGAAAAUAUGAAGAUACCAUUUUCGCCUAUUAAAUGAGCAAAGUUGUAUUUUCCAAGAUAUUGCUCCAUGCCAGAUGCAUGGGCGCUAACCUGGGCACUCAUACGUGGCUGGUAGGCAGUUGAGUCAUAUUUAUUGAAAGCUUUGAAAAUCUACCCUUCAAAUCCUGUAAUUCUACCACUAGCAAUAGACCAAUGGAUAUAUUAGGUUGUGUAUCCCCAAAUUAAAACAAAACACUAAAAAUGCCAUCAACUUAUACAUGGUUAAGUAUAUUUCCUAAGGAUAUUUAAUACUAUGGGAAAAUGCUCUUGGUUUAAUACAAACUGAAAAAAAAAAGGGAUCAUAUAGGGUGAUUGAAAUUUUGACAUCAAAACCAUAUAUAUGGCAUCCAAAAAACUCGAGGAAAAAGAAAGCAUUUUAAUUACCACUCUUUUCCUUUCUUUAAGAAGAAAAAUAAAUCAUUCUAUUCUGCUGACGUUUAAUAACAGAGAACAGUAAAACUUCUUCAGCUCAAUUAAUUUAGAAUCAUAUAUAAUGUUCUGUGUUAAAGUGGAUGAAACUGGAUGUGAUGGUUAGGAAUGAAGAAAAUAAGCAAGAGGGGGCAGAGAAAGAAAAGGGAGAAGGUUGGGCACAGUGGCUUACACCUGUAAUCCCAUAACUUUGGGAGACUGAGGCGGGCAGAUCACCUGAGGUCAGGAGUUCCAGACCAGCCUGGCCAACAUGGUGAAACCCCGUCUCUACUAAAAACACACAAAAAGUUAGCUGGGCGUGGUGGCACACGCCUGUAAUCCCAGCUACUUGGGAUGCUGAGGCACGAGAAUAACUUGAACCUGAUAGUCAGAGGUUGCAGUGAGCCGAGAUCACACCAUUGCACUCCAGCCUGGGCAACAGAGUGAGACUCUGUCUCAAAAAAAAAGAAAGAAAAGGGAGUAGAAGAGAGGCAUGACAGUACAGGGACGCAGUGGAGUGACAGACAGACUUGGAAACCUAGGCAUAAUGAUCAAAUGAAAUCAAUCCAUGGGGCACUGUUUCUCUCUCUCCUCCUCUACACACACACACACACACACACACACACACACACACUCACACACCCCAGCCUGUUGUUUCAGAAAGCUGUCAUAGAAACCAAUGAAGAAGUCAGCUCUGUGAACCAACAAGAACGCAGAUUCUUCCGCAGAUACACGUACUAAAGUUGAAAGAAACGAUGUUCACAUCAAAUCCUUGUCAAUAGAGCACAUGCAGGAACAUGCACGCUGGAGUUUGCAGAGGAUAUUAGAGAUGUCUCAGAAGUUGUGAUCAGUUGUUCUGGAGGAAAAAUAAAUCGCAUUGCAAGUGGCUCAACACACUUCUGUGGAAAUUGCCAAGAAGCAUUGUGUGCAUCCUCCCACCUCCAGGAGACAGGGACCUCAGGCCAGGUUACUCAAUUGUUUAUUGGAGUUCUGAUUUACAAGAAUGAAACCAGUUUAAAAAAUAAAAAAGCCAGGGCAGGGGAGCAGGCAAGGACUGGCUGAAAGAAGAGAACAGGCUGUUAUUUACAAAGGACACACACGUGCGCACAGACACGCAGGUGCAGACCUGUAAUGUGAUCAGAAAGGCAGUGUACCAGAAAAUGAAGCAAAAGUCUUUACUGAAGAUCAAAACCAGAAGUAAUUGUCCAUGGCAGGCCCAAGGUACUGUACUGCUAAGCAAGCCAUGCUUGCUUCUGUGGGCACAGAACUCACCACCCAGGAAAGAUCUCUGACUUGCUGGGUCAAAGGAGGUCUGUCCUCUCUCAAACUGAGACUCACACCUUGGAUUGUCCAGGUUUGAGAACUCUUUAUCAGAUUAAAAACCUCUAAGGAAUCUGCCUCAAGUAGUAGAAAAAUAGCCCAGAUUUGGAAUUCGUAACGUGUCACAAACACAGGAGAAUUAGCACUAGGUAUCUGGAAAAUAAAGCAGGGUUCGCUGGCCCAGUAUGAGAGAAAUAGAUCAAGUUAACAGCGUCGUCAUUUAGCUGCUUAUGGAGAGAACCCAAGAAGCGAUUUGACACCUGUAUGUGCCCUGCCUGGUGUGGAUUUCAGGAAGCCCGGGGCCUUUGAUUCUCAUGUGGUCACUCCCUUCGGUAAGCCAAGGUGACACAGUCUCUGGGGUGGCUGAAAAGACCAUUGCCAGAAAGUCCGGAGGACGCACACGCGUACCUGUGAGUUGGAUAAUGGCAGGAUGCAUGGCGCAAACACCACACAUCCCUCUCCUGUUUCCUUUAACUCCAAGACAAGUGGCCUCCAUCUGGAGCAUUACUGUGCCACUAUCUGGAACAGAAAUGGGACAGGGUUGUAAAUGACAAGGAAACAUAGACAACCCCCCAGUAAGGUGGCAAAGCCUUUUGUGGAUACGAAGGGUGGAUACUGAACUCCCCACCCCACCCGUGAGAUGGUUACUGUGGUGACUGCUGUGUGAGCCCAGUGACAUGACAGGGAACAGAAACACAUGCAUUCAAGGAAAUCCUCGGAGGGAUGAGAAGGGAGGGAAAUGGAUUUGACAGCUUGUUGCUGCCACAGCUUCCUUAGCAAAGAUAAGAUCAGGAUGGGGUUUAUUUAAAAAGAGACAUGCUGAUGUCUACCCAAGAUGUCCGUUCUUAUUGUAUUUACUCUGUUGGCAGGAGUAAGGAAGAAGUCAGUUUUGGGUAAACGCUGCUUAAAGUAGUAGCCAUUCCAAAUUUGCAGAGCAAAUUUGUAAAUGGGGAACUGAAAAUGAACCAAGAAAAACUAUCACAUCCUUGGCAACCUACCCUUCACAGGGCUUCAGCUGUGUUUUCUUAGAAACACAAAUCAUCUUUGUCAACAGAACUUUGAACACCCCCUCAUAAGGUGUAACUGGCCGUCAUACUCCAGUCCCUUUAAAAAGGGGCCUGCAGCUGCUUCACUGAGAACCAGUUUUGCUUAAUUGCAAAUUUGGUGGCUUAAAUCAUGUAGACUAAACAUCCCUAAAUGACAGUGGUUUACAGACAAAAGUUGGGAUUGUUCCUCAAAGAGAUCUGCAUCAGGUCUGGCUGUUCAGUGGGAUCCCCUGGGAGCUCUGGAGACAUGCUAAGUCUGGUACCCACUCCAGAGCAGUGAAAUCAGAAUCUCAGAAAGGCGGGCAGGUCCUUGGCAUUGUUCUCAAAGGCUUCCAGGUGAUUUCAACGCGGACCUGGGUAAGAAAGAGCGGUCCAGGGCAGAGCUUGUCAAAGCAAAUGGGCACAGGACUCAGCUGGGGAUCUCCUUCAAGUUCAGAGUCUAAUCCAGACAGGUCUGGGAGACUGGAGAGUCGGCGUUUCUAACGAGCUUCAGGUGAUGCUGAUGCUCUUGAUCCCAGGCCACACAGGAUAACAAGGGUCCCCAGGCCUGCCUCUUUAUGGGGAUUGGAAUGGAGGAUUCUCGCCAGUGAAGUAAAGUUCAAAGCCAGUCAGAAACUUUUUGAUCAUCAUGGUAAAAAAACCAAAAAACAAAAAACAAAAACAAACUUUUUGCGUGUGUGAGGAGAGGUCAGGGGUAAGCAACCAGAUCAGAUGAGUAGAAAUCAGAUGCUAUUAAAAAGAGUUUUGAAUUUCGUUACAUUUUUCAGUAAACAUUACUUCAACUGAUGAGUGGGGAAACAAAACGUAGCAUAUCCCUACGAUGAAAUGUUAUUUGGUCAUAAAAAGGAAUGGAGUUCUGAUACAUACUGCAACAUGGAUAAACCUUGAAAAAUGAGGUGAAAUGAAAGAAGUCAGUCACAAUAGACCACAUAUUAUAUGAUUCCAUUUAUAUGUCCAGAAUAGAAAAUGUAUAGAGACAGAAGGUAGGUUGGUGGUUGCUUAGGGUUGGGGAUGGGGGAAUAGGGAAGUGAUAGCCAAAAGGUGAGGGGUUUUUUUUUAAGCUUGUGAAAAUGUUUUAAAAUUGUAACAAAAACCCAUUGUACACUUUCAAUGGUUGAAUUGCAUGAUAUAUGAACUACAUCCCAAUAAAAUUGUUACAAAAUA